rnacentral:lncRNA from 1 species
GUGGCCUUUACCGUGAUAUAUAUAUCUGUCUCUCUGCCACAAUGCUAGCUGUCUUCUGCCGCCUAGCUCCGUAUGUACGGAUGUGUCAGGCGCCUGCUCCAUGCGUAACGGCCAUUAAUUCUCCUCUGAUACGUAUGAUUCUCCUCUGAUACGCAUGCGGAAGGACCUACCAGCGGGGCAUCUUGGUCAUUUUCUCCUUUCCGGGCUGGGUUGAAUGGUAGGGCUGAAGUUGAGCCUGGUGAGGGCCUGAUUACUGGGCCGAGAGGUUUGGGCCGGUUUGAUUGAGGAGUCUAGGCGGAGUCCGGCCCUAUGACUGAGCGGGCUGGACCUGGCUCUCGAGGGGAAUAUUGAAGCCUUCGGAUCAGGGACUGUUUUCAUGGGCCUGGCCUUUAUACCGGGGUGAAGAAAUCCAGCGAUCAUCAAUUGCCCCUUUAUCUCCUCAGCAGUUAUUCCAUGACUGGUGAGGGGAUAAAUCUUUAAACUCUAUUCAUGACCGUAUGGUCUGAGAACUGCUCCUGUCGGAAGUAUCCCUUUCUUGCCUUUUUAUUAUUUUUGCCUGAGCGUUGGACUCUUGUGUAUGUUUUUUGCCCCUGAGUAUUUAUGGGCUGGCUUCUUUCGAGCGUUUUGCGGGCUCUUUGUUGCUUGGACCUUUCUCUAGGUCAGCUGAGUUGGUUUAGUGUGAGCGGUCAAUUCUCGAGGUCGUUGCCUCUCAUGAUUGCCCCUGAUUCUCUGUUUGGCUUUGUAUUUUGGUAUGCAGUUUGCUUAGGAAUCGCCUUGCCUUAAUUCGGUCUGUCUUAUCGGGUUUACCAGUACUGCGCUCAUUUUCUUGAGAUCGGCAUGAUGCUUUGGUACUUUUGGCUGUUGUGUGAGAUUUAAAGUCUCUCUACCUGAUGACUUGAGCUCCUUUGGGAGGUCGGAGUUUAGCUUUUUUAUUUAUGGUCCCGUGCCCCAAUUUUUUAUGUGAGAUCAGAACUAUGUUCUUUAUGAGUUGUUUUUGCUUGUUGCACCGGAUGAUCUUGGGGAUUCUGGCUAUUUUUGCUCCGGGAGAUCUUUGAGAUCUUUGCCGGUCUUCUACCUCAGUGAGGUCUUUUGCCUCAUUGAGGUCUUCUGCCUCUUUGAGGUCUUCUGCCUCUUUGAGGUCUUCUGCCUCAUUGAGGUCUUCUGCCUCAUUGAGGUCUUCUGCCUUUUUGAGGUCUUCUGCCUCUUUUGAGGUCUUCUGCCUCAUUGAGGUCUUCUACCUCUUUGAGGUCUUCUGCCUCUUUGAGGUCUUCU